rnacentral:rRNA from 1 species
AUUGAACGCUGGCGGCAGGCCUAACACAUGCAAGUCGAGCGGAUGACGGGAGCUUGCUCCUUGAUUCAGCGGCGGACGGGUGAGUAAUGCCUAGGAAUCUGCCUGGUAGUGGGGGACAACGUUUCGAAAGGAACGCUAAUACCGCAUACGUCCUACGGGAGAAAGCAGGGGACCUUCGGGCCUUGCGCUAUCAGAUGAGCCUAGGUCGGAUUAGCUAGUAGGUGAGGUAAUGGCUCACCUAGGCGACGAUCCGUAACUGGUCUGAGAGGAUGAUCAGUCACACUGGAACUGAGACACGGUCCAGACUCCUACGGGAGGCAGCAGUGGGGAAUAUCGGACAAUGGGCGAAAGCCUGAUCCAGCCAUGCCGCGUGUGUGAAGAAGGUCUUCGGAUUGUAAAGCACUUUAAGUUGGGAGGAAGGGCAGUAAGUUAAUACCUUGCUGUUUUGACGUUACCGACAGAAUAAGCACCGGUUAACUCUGUGCCAGCAGCCGCGGUAAGAC